rnacentral:lncRNA from 1 species
CCAUCAUGAACUUCAAAUUUCUCAAAGAAAAUCAUGAACUUCUUAAAAUAUGAGCCAUAUAAUGAAGUGCUUGUUAGCAUGAUUAUCAUUAACAAGGCUAAAAAAUGUGCCAUUGCAUUUUCAUGCAAAUGCAUCACCAGGUACAGCAGGUUCAGUUUGGAGUGGCAGGUCGGUACAACAUAUUGCAUACCAAAAUGUAGGAGAAAGGGUGGGCAGGAACUUAUAAUUAGCCCACGGUGACAAACCGGCCAUCUUUCUUCCUCCUGGCGACAUGGACGGUCAUCGUUGUCAUCUUCCUUGCGCCUUUGAUCAGCUCAAAGACGCAGACGUCGCCCUCGCGCAGCCCAUUGUCCGGCGACAAACCGGCCAUCUUUCUUCCUCCUGGCAACAUGGACGGUCAUCGUUGUCAUCUUCCUUGCGCCUUUGAUCAGCUCAAAGACGCAGACGUCGCCCUCGCGCAGCCCAUUGUCCCUCACAAACUUGACCCAACGUUGGCAGUUGAAG